UAAAGCUAUAGCCUAUACAUCAUGCAAUCACAAAAUAAUACAGCUUUAACCAAUUAUGUUAUGAUAUCUAGGUCAAUAAUCAUUUUCUUUUCAGUUACAUAAAAUUGGCUGCAAAUACUUGUCUUUCAUCAUUUAGUGAAUACAUAAGGCAAACUUAAAUAUGAACUUUCAUUCUUGUAAGAAGGGAAUGCAUGUUUUUUUAUUACACUUUUUUAAACAGCGUGUCUAAAAUUAAACAUACCAGAAAGCAUGCAGCCAGACAUUAAGGUGUAUGACCAGUCAGACACAGAAGUUGACAGGGAGGUUUUUGAAGAAAUAGUGAAGGAGUCACCUGGAACUCUGAGAAUCAUGCUGGGCAAUGGAGGACUUGGUAUUCAUUCAGACAAUUCACAAAUUAGUUUGUUUAGUUUAAAGGCCGGGAUGAGAACAUUUAUUUCCUAAAAUACCGGUACAUUUUUUUUGUAAUAUGUUUCUAUAUUUUGUACAAAUUUCAUAAUGAACAGGUGCCUCUUAAUUAUCAUCAUGCUCGGAUACAUCUGAUGACACUGUCAUCCUGAAUUUCACGAUCUGUGACCCUGUUGAAGAAGAAGCCACUGCCGAAGGAAGCUAGCCAUGCCACAUAAACUACGAGGCAAAAGCACCUGGUGGUGAACAAAUUAUGCAAGAGUAUGGAAAAACCAAAUCCCUGACAGAUGCCACCAGAAACAGAUGAUUACAUACUUGCUGCUGAGAUGACAGAAACACAUGGGACAUCCCCCCCAAAAGUGUCAGAGUGAUGUAUGCACAGGGGAUAGUAGCUUUGUUUCCCUAUCUAGAAGACCCAUACUCACAACAUGGAUAUGAACAUUACUACGAUCCAGAGAGUGGUUCAGGAUACUUUGCAUGGCGAUUGAAGACCAUAUAAAGAAAAACAGCAGAGGAAAGCAGUGCCUCAGUCAGCAAAUCUCCUAAAGUUGGUGGGCCAGGUCGUGUUCAUCAGCCCUCCACCUUUGACAGAGAGCCAUCUGAUGAGGAUGUGGAAGCAGCUAUUGCUGUUUUGAGACACUCUGCUGAUGAAAAGACUGUACGUGACAAGAUGAAAAUGACCUUCAUAUAUCGGCAAGCAAUGGUCAGUGAUGAAGCCAAAUCAUCAGAUGUCUUCUUGGUCUUCCCACGAUUUCUGGACACACCAGGACUGAUAGAACAAGAUUUCAGAUUUCUGUUUGGUGAGGCCACGGCCAACAAAUUCUUGGAGAAAUGGCCAACCACUUUUAAAGCAAAAGUAAUAAAGGAAAGCCAUGGACUUGUACCCACCACAGAACUCUUGGAUUUGAUGCGCAAUGCUGAGUCAGCUACUGAAGUUGAGAAUUGUAUGCAUGGAACUGUUUUACUUGUUAUUGUGGGUUAUGUAGGCUGGGACAGUGACAUGUCUGCCGCUGCUUGCUGCUGCUACAUCUGCUACCACCAUCUGCAUAUCAAGCUGUAGAUCAGCUCAUCAGAUUUCAAAAGGUAGGCAUCUUAAAAAGUGCCAUGGAAGCAGUUUAGUUGAUUCUGUAGAAUAUGAUCUUUUAUAUCCUUAAAGUACUGUCAAUACAAGUAAUGUUUCUCAUGUUGAAGAGUCGACUGAAUAUUUAGAGUCACAGUUAUCUUCGCCAUACAUUGUAAAUAGUUGUUCAUCUGUAAUUUCUGAUCUAAAGGCAGCAGGUGUUGGUCAAAGUACACUGAAUUCCGUAGUGAUUUCCAUGGAAGAGAUUGUUCAAGAUAUCCAUCAAUUGAAUCUGAAGUGCCCGUGUUUUAUCAGAUUGAGUCAGUUUUGAUAAUGUGUGAAAAACUGUUGCUAAUCACAGUGCUUUUAAACACAGUAACUUUUCAAGAACAUUUCCAUGCAUAUAAGGUGAUCAGAACAAAGCAGGAUUUUUUUUUUUUUUCAUGUGAACCUGCAUUACCCUAGGCCUUUUGACAUACAAAUGUCAUAUGGAGGAAAUGACACAACUCUCCUUGUUGUGCCAUAUUGCUUUCUCUGGUAAACAUUUAUUAUUAUGUUAUACAUGUUUAGGUCAGAGACAAGGCAAUGUGUUUGCAAUGUAAAUUAAAUGACAUUAAAAUUCUUUAUUUUUUACAAUAAAUUGUAAGU